ACAGGUUUCAGGCUUAGGAAGAAAGGGGUAGUAGUCCAGGAACUCUUUCUUCAUGGUAGGAAUAACUUAAUAGAUGUGUUACAGUUGGGAAUAUCGGAUUUCCUCUGGCCCAGGUGUCCAGGUGAGCACUUCAGGCAUUACUGAGGAAUCUGUGUUGCUGUAUUACUGUUCCGUGAUGUCAAACCCUGUUUUCCACACAGUAUAACGCAACAGCAUAGUGUAUAGUAUUAUAGACCAGACAGCUUGGGCCUGGAAUUAUUGCUCCCCCACACCUAUCCCUACCCACACCUCAGGCAAAACAAGCAAAAAGCCCCAAAUCUACUUUUGAGCAAGAGGGUGUGCUCAGGAAGAAGGAACACACAGAGGAAGUAUACUUGGUUUUUAUUCCGAGGAAGGUGGUAAUUGUAUCCUUUCCCCUUUGGCUGGGGUCUGAACCUCUGCUAGUCUGAGAAUUGGUGCAUAAGAAAAUGGAGGAAGGGGAAAGGAGUUAUUGCUCCAAAGAGGAAAGGAUCAUUGCUUCAGGCUACCAAAUUCUUAGAAUAGAAAUAGGACCUUUGAGUAAAUAAAAGUUUUACUUGAAGUGGGGGGAGGGAUUAACUCCUAAACACAAGUUUUAUAGUAUUUGAUAGAAAAAAAAUCUCAUUAUAUAUUUCUUAUAAAUCCUUCCUCUUUUUUUCCUUUUAAAACACUCUUUUCUUCAAACUCAUUGUGGUUUUCUUUUUCUGUUCUAUCUUGGAAUAAGAAACUGCCCUGGGGAGGGAGUAGUACCUGUUUAUUAAUAGUCAACUCAACUAUCCUAUGUUAUGUUCCUAGAAUAAAAAAUUGUUACAUCUAUUUCAUUACCAUGGUUUAAGGUAAGCUCACCUUCCUAAGGGUAGUUCCUCUGUCAGGAGAAUGAUCUAUCUGCUUUGGAAUCAUUGCCCUUUGAUGUGCAAAGGAGUUUGCCUCCUUUUAAGUGAAGUAUCCAGGGUGUGGGGCUCCAGAAAGUAUUACAGUGUUUUAAAUGUAGCAUUUGCUUGUAAUAUUUGUAACAUACAUUUAGGCACUUGUGAAUCUUCUUUGAUAAUUGGGACACAUUCGUCAAUUCUGAGAACUUGUUAUUUUUUUUCUAUUUUCAUAGUGUUUACUGUGAAUUAAAAUUUGUUAUGCCACUGCCAAAAAAUAAAGCUUACUUUGGAACACA
rnacentral:lncRNA from 1 species